CUUCAACGAGCCCAGCAGCAGCGGCUGUUCGCGCUUCUGACCGUAGGUGGCGAGCAGGGCCUGAGCCUC
rnacentral:antisense_RNA from 1 species